UUGACUAAGUCUUGCAAACUAUCCUAGUUUUAAGAGACAUUAUCUCAAACAAACUCUCUCUCUCUCACGCCUGAAUCUCUCUAUCUCUCUCGUUCGUUCUUUUUUUCCUGCCUGCAAAAAUAGAAGAUAAAAACAUUAGAAAGCAAUAAAAAGUUAUCUACUUACAAAAAAAAUAUACAAGCAAAGCAAGCUAACUUAAGAAAUGAAAACUUUAUAUCAUCUUCUCGAUGGGAUUGUGUGGAAGGUUUAGGGGAGGAUUUGGGCAGCACUUUGACGUUGUUGAAAUCUACAACAAGGUGCAGGAACAGGUGGACGCUAGAGCUACAGGUUGACGCUGAAGCUAUCCGGACGUCGAGCAUUCAUUCAGACUUGAGAAUUAAUACUAGGAGGAACGCUGGUCAGAUGAGAAGAGGAGUAGCUUCUGGGAACAAUCGGGUUCCACCCCAGGCUCCAACUGAAUAAAGAGCUAUGCCAGUUAACCCGGUUGGGUUGACUGAUGCGGAGGUGCAGGCAUCUCUUGCCCAGAUGGCACAGGCCAUCACUAUGCAGGCCCAGGACAUUACUGCCAGGUCAAUCGACAGAAUGUUGAGAGGGAGAUCCCAUCAGUGCGUAGCAUGGCUGACAUGUUGAGAGACUUCAGAGGACCCACAAGAGUUUGUGAAUGAGGUGCAUAAGAUUUUUGUGGCUAUGUGGGACACAAAUACUAAGAAAGCAGAGUUGGCUUCCUAUCAUCUCAAGGAUGUUGCAUAGACCUUGUGCAAUAUGUGGCAGGAUAGUUGAGCUUUGAGCGGAGUCCCGGUCAUGGGAGCUGUUUAAGACAUCCUUCCUAGAGAGAUUCUUUCAUAGGGAAAUAAGGGAGGCGAACUAUCCAGGUAUGCUACUUCCCUUGUAUCUAAUAGUAGGGAUGAGAUGAGCAGGUUACUCACAAGAAUCAACGGAGAUCUAGAGGAGGAGUGUCGGUCUGCGAUGCUCCAUGAUAACAUGGACCUCUCCAGGUUGAUGGUGCAUGUGCAGCAGGUAGAGGAUAGCCGCAAAAAGAGUGGUGUUCGUGAUGUUGGGAGGCCAAAGCCUCAAGAUGAGGCAGGUCCCAGCCAUGGAUGCCAUAGAAACAAUUUUGGCAUCUGUGAGAAGCCCAAGUUCAAGAAGGGGCAACAGAGUUCUGGGAUUCUAAUUGACAAAAGAGUACAACACCUAGAGGAGGCAAACCGAGCCCAAGAAGGGAAAUGGAGGUGAGAUGCAGCAUCCCAAAAACAACUGUGCUAAGUGUGGUCGUGCUCAUAGUGGAGAGUGCAGACAGGGCACUAAUGCGUGUUUCAAUUGCGAUAAGAGUGGUGAUAUUGUUAGAGACUGCCCACUGGACAGAGGUCAGGCUGGAGGUAAUGCUCACCUAGGCCUAAUCCACAGGUUGAAGCAGCAGUCGAGCCUCUUAAGAGGAUCAAGUUUUAUGCCCUAAAGGGCAGGGAGGAGCAAGAGAAAUCUGUUGAUGUGGUCACACGUAUGCUGCAAGUAUUCUCAACUUCUAUUUAUGAUUUACUUGAUCCAGGGUCUACGCUUUCCUUUGUAACUCCUUUGCUUGCUCUCACUUUUGAAAUAUUGCCUGUAUUUCUGUAUGAUCCUACAGUGGUUAGUACACCUUUUGGAGAAAAUGUAAGAACUGAUAGAGUAUACAAGGAUUGCCAAAUAGUUAUAA